UACGUAGGGUGCGAGCGUUGUCCGGAAUUAUUGGGCGUAAAGAGCUCGUAGGCGGUGUGUCACGUCGGCCGUGAAAACCUGCAGCUUAACUGUGGGCGUGCGGUCGAUACGGGCAUCACUGGAGUUCGGCAGGGGAGACUGGAAUUCCUGGUGUAGCGGUGGAAUGCGUAGAGAUCGGGAAGAACAUCGGUGGCGAAGGCGGUCUGCUGGGCCGUUGCUGACGCUGAGGCGCGACAGCGUGGGGGAGCAAACAGG
rnacentral:rRNA from 1 species